rnacentral:rRNA from 1 species
GACAGAGGUGCCAAGCGUUAGGCGGAAUCACUGGGCUUAAAGCGUGUGUAGGCGGAAUGGUAAGUACCUUGUGGAAAUCCCACGGCUCAACCGUGGAACUGCUCGGUAUACUGGAUGUCUUGAGCCACUUAGGGGCUACCGGAACAAAUGGUGGAGCGGUGAAAUGCGUAGAUAUCAUUUGGAACGCCAAUGGUGAAAACAGGUAGCUGGGAGUGUGCUGACACUGAGACACGAAAGCCAGGGGAGCGAACGGG